AUUGAACGCUGGCGGAAUGCUUUACACAUGCAAGUCGAACGGCAGCACGGACUUCGGUCCGGUGGCGAGUGGCGAACGGGUGAGUAAUGUAUCGGAACGUGCCCAGUCGUGGGGGAUAACGUAGUGAAAAUUACGCUAAUACCGCAUACGAUCUAGGGGUGAAAGCGGGGGAUCGCAAGACCUCGCGCGAUUGGAGCGGCCGAUAUCAGAUUAGGUAGUUGGUGGGGUAAAGGCCCACCAAGCCAACGAUCUGUAGCUGGUCUGAGAGGACGACCAGCCACACUGGAACUGAGACACGGUCCAGACUCCUACGGGAGGCAGCAGUGGGGAAUUUUGGACAAUGGGCGAAAGCCUGAUCCAGCCAUUCCGCGUGCAGGAUGAAGGCCCUCGGGUUGUAAACUGCUUUUGUACAGAACGAAAAGGUUUCUACUAAUACUAGGAGCUCAUGACGGUACUGUAAGAAUAAGCACCGGCUAACUACGUGCCAGCAGCCGCAGUAA
rnacentral:rRNA from 1 species